rnacentral:misc_RNA from 1 species
GAACAAGGAGACAUUCUUUUCUAUUGACUGAUCUCACUCCCUUACAUUAUGAGAUGUGAAAAAAUAAUAAAAGUUUAUAAAAAUAAAAAAGAGAGACUUCACUAAUAAUAGGAAAAAGAAUGGCUCAUUUUCUUAUCAGUUAAUUCAAAGAAAUAAAAAUUUUUCUCCGCACAACAGAUUUGACAACAAAUUAAAAACCCCAGAAAUAUUCUCCACAAUAUAUAAAUUCUGUGGAGAUCAUCAGCACCAUUAAUUGAAAAAAUAAAUGGUCAAACAAAGAAUUUGGAAUUGAAAUUUUCAGACGCCAUUAUAGCUAAAUUGAUUCCUGCCUUUGCAUUCUCAUCUCUUCGUAGAACCUCUUAAUAAACCUCUCAGCCCUCUGAUCAACGGACUCUUCCUGAUCAUACCCCAAAUUCAAUGGCUGCAAAUAUUCCUCAGGAAUGGUAGCUGCAGGAAGUGUUUGCAAUGGCAAUGCAAAAUCUACUACUUCUCCUUCUUCGGCUUUCAUUCCACCCAAGCGUCUACAGAGGAAAAACAUGGAGUAUAUAUUAUCUCUAUAGCUGCCAUUCUUGCACUUUUUUUUGCAGCGGCGAAUGAGAGGAGUACUUGAAGGAGAGAACUCAUAAUCUUUGAGAAACCCAUAGCUGUUGUUCUGCUUGAGUAACAUGAACCUUUUAAAUUUUCUUGUUUUCUUGAGGAAAAUGAGCUUGGGAAUGGCAGGUUUCCUCAUUUUAGAAACAAGAAUGGAGAUUCUAAGAAGAUUUGAGACCUUGUGGAAAAUGAGUAGUCUCUUUUUGGGCAAAUUUUGCGGCUGCUGCAUGGUUUUUGGGAGAAAGGAGUGCAAUCUUUUGAGUUGCAGAGAGGGAUUGAUGAUGUUGUUGGUAGGGGUUGAGUCAUGAGUCAUGAGCAAAGGGAGCUUUUUAAGAAUAGAGAAAAGGCAGAGCGGAGUAUGGAAAAUCAGAGAUGGUGGUGGGGAGCCUUUUU